AUGGGCCAGCGAGAAUCCCAUGAAGCCACGGGCCACGAUAACACCGCUGAUGAAUUCAUCAGCGGGCUACCCGACGACAUCCUCGGCACCAUAAUCUCCCUUCUCCCCACCAAGGACGGCGGUCGCACAUCGGCCCUCUCCCGCCGAUGGCGCUAUCUGUGGUGCUCCACGCCUCUCAACCUCGAGGUUCGCACUCAACCCCGUGGUGUCCACAUCCCCACCUCCUAUGUCCACCCCGCAGUCGUCUCCAAGGUGGAGGACUGGUUCAACUCCCAAGCCCUCACUGGCCUCCAAGAGCUCGAUAUCAGCUACCAUCGGUUCCAUCAGACAUACCCGCUACCGCCAUCCGCACUCUGCUCUGUAGCCACCCUCCUCAUUGCCAAGAUCGGCAAUUGUGUUUUCCCCAACAAGAUUGUGUCAUCCUUGAACUUUCCCUUCCUCAAGCAGCUCACCCUAUUUUACAUUUCCUUCUCAGUGGACGGCUUCCACAGAUUUCUCUCUGGAUGCCAUGCCUUGGAGAGCUUAGACAUGUCUGAUGUUCGUGGUGUGGGUUGCCUCCAUGUUAGCUCGCGAACUCUUAGGACCAUCGGUUUCCAUGAUAGUGCUAGUAAAAAAGCAUAA
rnacentral:rRNA from 1 species